UACUCCCGCCGGCGACCGGCGCACGGGUGAGUAACACGUAUGAAACCUGCCCGUAGCAGGGGGAUAAGCGGAAGAAAUUCCGUCUAAUACCGCGUAACAACCCGAGGAGGCAUCUCCUCGGGGUUUAAAGGAAGCGAUUCCGGCUACGGAUGGUCAUGCGUCGCAUUAGCUAGUUGGCGGGGUAACGGCCCACCAAGGCGACGAUGCGUAGGGGUUCUGAGAGGAAGGUCCCCCACACUGGUACUGAGACACGGACCAGACUCCUACGGGAGGCAGCAG
rnacentral:rRNA from 1 species